UUUUUUUUUUUUUUUUUUUUUGGCUGUUUGUUUGUCUCCCCUCUCCCUCAAACUGCUUUGAAAUGGAGUUUGUUGAAGAUAAGGAUUUGUCAUUUUCCAUAGCGUGAGUUUGGUCAAGUGAAACUUCCGAGAAUUUUCAGGAAAUGAUUCAAAAUUGUUAGUUGGGGUUCUUCCUCACCUAUGAAGAGCUAUGCUUAUUUAAGGACCAAAGAAAAGUAAGCCUUGAUUUCCUGUGAGAUUAAGAAGAAGGAUUGGUGAAGAUAAACGACCUAGAAGAAAGUUCUCUUCGCUGACAUAAAACUCUGGCAAGAAUGAGAAGCCCAGCAUGGGGUGCUUGCCUUUGGAACCCAGCCACCAUGUUAUGAAGAAGGGAAAGGCCACACGUAAGGGUUCCAGUGAAGAGUCCCAGCUAAAAUCUCACUCACAGGCAUCAUCAACCUCCAGACAUGUGCAUGAACAAGGCUUCCAAUGAUUCCAACCCUCAGCCUUGAGCGUUCCAGACAUCAUGGAGCAGAGAUAGGCUGUGACCAUUCAGUCCUGACCAACUUCCUGACAAACAGAAACCAAAGGAGAUAAUAAGUUAUUCUUGUUUUAAACCACUGAGUUUUGGAGUAAUUUGCUAUGCAAUUAUAACCUACACAUAAAUGGUGAUCUGGGUCAAAAUGGUGUCCAAGGAAUAAUUGGUAGAGGAGAAAAAUGCCAGUGGGUGGAUGAGUAAAUGGGUAUUUAAACAGGAGAGGCAAUGAGUUUAGGUAACUGUUGAAAAUAUUUUUUUUGUUAGGGAGACAAGAUAUCUCUACAUCUUGUUUCCCAAAUGGAGAAUAACUAAUAAAAAUAUGGCUCUUAAAAAUA